ensembl:lncRNA
AUUUUAUGAUGCUGUAUUGCAUGUAUGUAAGCACUUGAAAGUACGCUUGCAGAUGUAUAGGUACGGUGAAGCCCACACUCCUUGCUUAGAGCAGGGGGUUGGACCCUCACCUUGAACACACUGUUGAUGAAAUUUGCUGCUGAUGAGGGACAGAACCCACAGACUCUGUCGAAGACUGACUGUUCCUGUGGCUUUGCUUGCCCGGUGUGGAGGUGAAGGGAGUGUGAGCUGCAUCUUAUGGAAAGCAUGCACAUGCACAUUGGGCGCCUCUUGCAGCCAUGUGUUUUCUUGCAGAACAACAAUGAGAUGAAGAUGGGGCAUUAAGAUUUGAAGGCCUCUUCGUAGACUUGAAGUAAAUUUUGCCCUUUGGUGUUUGCCGAACUGGGGAAACUCAGCAUCUUUCAGUUCUGAGCCUUGGAAUGGAGCUAAAACAGUUGGAAAAUG